rnacentral:tRNA from 1 species
CAAGGAAUAGUUUAAAAAAAAUUUCAGUUUUGGGAAUUGAAGAUAAAAUAAAUUCAUUUUUUCCUUGA